CACGGCACUGCCGCGCCGAGCCCUCCGGGAACGGGCCGAGCCCUCCGGCAGCCGGGAUGAGGAGCCCGCGGUGAGCACUGCCCCGGUGUUGGGGCCUUCGGUAGCGCUGAGCUGAUGCCUGCACCCUCCUACAUGCAGUUUCCACAUCGAUGCAAUGGAUGCUGCUGAGGAGGAACCACCUCAGUUUGAUCUUUGUAAGCUGCUGCUGCUCAGCCUCCACGGACAGUUCUGGCAGUGCACUUGAAUAAGGCUGCAAAGAGAGCAAAAGCAGAAGAGCUGAUGUCCUGAGCUGGCGUGAGGAAGCCCAGGCAGACACACCAAUACACAGCAUACAGUUUUUCUUUUAGCUCAGUCCUUGAGAGGUCCUGCAGAUGCCACUGACAUUCUCCUGGAAGAACCUUCCAUCCUCUUCCUGGUCAGGAAAGGGACACAACAGGGCCCUGAAAAAAUGACUGGAUGGAGGGUGAAGGUGCUGAGAGUGGAGUUGUUCUGUGUUUGAGAGAAACUGUGGAUGAACAUCCUUUAUGGAGCACUGUGGUGUCCCUGCCUGCCCUUCACACCAAAUGGGCUCGAAAGACGAGCAUGCAUCUGCCUGACAGCUUUCAGAGUGAGCCAUCCCUGCCAGCCAAAGCAGAUUCUCUGUGCCUGCUUCCAAGCUGAAACAACUGGUGGCAGAGUGGGGUGUCUCUCCAGUCCUAGCCAUGAAGAGAGGAGAUGAAACAUCCUCCUGCUCACAGCACAGGGAAGAGGCUGGAGCUGGGCUGCUGUCUCCACACCUGUAGAACUGUGGUGAAAUGGGGAUUCUUUGUGUUUCAUUGGCUUCUCUGAGGAAAACAGUGACCAUGAGAUGAGACAGAGCCUCAGGGGGAAAGGACACUUGGAGCACCUGUACCGAAAGGAGAAGGCGAAGAAGCCUGUGAGCAUUCCCUGCCUCCUCUGAUCUUAUGCAGAUUCUAAACACAGGUUUUCUCCAUGGCUUUGUUCACCAUUAAGCAAACCCUGGAUCCUUGGGAACCACAAGCAGGACCCGAGUGUCACCCAGAGCUGCAUCUCCCCCUCUGUGUCCUGCCAAAGAGGAGUUGCCCACAGGACACUCAGGCACAGAUUCUGGAGUGUCUCUAAAGCCAUUUUUGUUCAGAAAUUCCUGUUGUUGUUGUUCCCGCUGACCUCUGUGGGCUGUAUCUUUUCCAGACAUUUCUGACGUUUCUCACAGGGUAAUCGGUGAAUGUCACAGACAACAAUUCUGCUGACUUCACUUUGGCUUCUGUUCCCCAUUGGAUGGGCUCCUCUCUUGAUGGGGGAACGCCUCCAGCCAAAAAGAGAGGAAAAAGCCCCCAGCCCCUGAGCUAAGUGAAAGCAGGCCCGAAGGGAAGCGCGUUCCUGCCGCAGUGCCUCUCGCUGCCUGGCUCCUGUUCCGUGCUUGGGGAUGAGCCAGACUCCAGUGCCUCCGUGCUUUUGAUUCCUGUUUAUCCCCAGCAACAUGAUUGUCUGUAAUUAUAUAUAAUCUCCUCCUUGUUUACUCUUCUUCCUCCAGGUCUGAACGCAAGCUCGAUGGCAACUCUGUGCUCCGUCUGCCAGGGCUCCAGCUCCAGCCGCUCCUCUCCAUCCUCCACCUUCUUUUUCCAAAGUAACAAAGCCAUUGGAUUUCCUCCCACCCCUUCCCUGCGCCUCCCCUCCCCCUCGCUGGCACCGGGGUUAUUUAUACAGAAUGUGGAAACAAUUUGCAGGAAAGGGAACAAUGUAAGCGGGAGCGAGGGAAGGGAGGCGAGUUUGCAGUGCACGCUGAGAGCCCCGGCGGUGGAACGCUGCUUUUGGGGGAGCACGGGGGGCAGGCUGUUUUCCUUUCUUCCUUCUCCCCUCUCCCACCGUCUCCCUGAGCUCCUUCUAUCCUGCUGGAGUCGAGGCCAAACCAGAGCAACGAGAUCUGAGUGAGUUUUGGAGGCUGUUCAGGCUGGAUCCCGCCCUGCGCUGCAGCUCCGUGAGGCGGUAUCUGUGUACUUAAUCCCCUCAGAGGUUCUGCUCUCGCAUCAUCCCUGCUCCUGGAUUAGCAUUAAUGAACAGCAUGUGUGCUCCAGAGGUCCUGCUCCAGGCCCUGGAGCUGCAGCACUGCCUGGUGUUACACACAGCUAUUCCCAGGAACAGUUCUGCUCAAAGAGGACAUUUCUGGGAGUGAACGAGGCAGGAACUUCUUGCAAAGUCUGAUUUCAGUCUUUCUGCCCUCACCUGCUCAGCACUGAAUUUCCAGGGCAUCCCAGCACCUUGCUGGCUCCAUUGGGAGUGUGUCUGUAAAUCCAGCAGUUUCCCUGAGUGCUCUGGGCUGGGGAAGCUGAACCAGCACUCACUCAGCACCUCUGAGCAGUUCUGGGCUCUUCAGACCUUGCUCUGCAUGGUGAAGUCCUCAAAGAGAGAUAACCCAAACCCACACAUCCUUUGGGGAAGGGCCAUAGGCAUUGCAGAUGGAAGGGAAUGUUCUCCUGGUUCCAGGCUGGAGCAGAGCAGCUGCCCUGGCCACAGUGGGGGCCUCCUGCCCUGCAGGGAAUCUCCUUUCCCAACAGCCUCCAGCCCUGGAUGGGAUCGGUGCAUUGUGCUGAGCUGGUAGGGCAGGGCCAGGGAGCUGCCAAGUAGGACAGUGUGUUCCUCCCUAAAGCAGGCAGAUUCCUGGCUGAGAGCUGGUGCAGCUGAUCCACUGUGCUCCAGUGGUACAGAGGGACAGUCAGAAGGAACCUCUGGUGGGCUUUUCCUUCCUGAGAAUCCAUCCUCUCCACUUCCCAGUUCUUCCUGCUCCUUCUCAGUCAUUGUCCACACACACAGAGUGUGAACUUCCCCUGGAUGUUUGCUCUGGAACCGGCCAUGUCUGCUCUCCCACGUGGAAGGGGAGGUGGGUCUGCACAGGCUGGGCCUCCCAGAGCUCAGGGCACAGCAGAGCCUCUUCCAAAUGCUGCUCCCUUUAGCCAGUCCUUGCCUGAGUUACCAACUCCAGGAGUGAAGCCCAGGAAGGGCUGGAGCAAAGACACUUCGGCCACUGAUGUUCUCUGGUCAGAGCAGUUCAGCUCUUUGGAUUCUCCUAUUUCUCCUGACUCUGAGAAGGGCCCAGGAAAACAAUUUCUGUUUUCCCUUCCAAUCCAGGCACCAGCAUGGACUGGGAGCAGACAGAACCCAGGCCCAGCAGAGCUGGGGAUCACUGGUUCCCACUGCAGCCACGCCGCGUCCAGGAGCACAGCAUGAGCCACAGCCUGGCUGCUUCCCAUCCCUGCUCCUGGCAGGAGCCUGGUGCUGUCUGAGCACCUGCCCAGGCUUGUUCCUCACUGUGCUUCCCUGCUGGCAAAGGCAGGGAUAGGGGAGAGCUUGAAUCCAUCAGCCUCUGGAGAGAGCACCCCUCGUGCAGGCUCGGGCAGGAGGGCAGCAGCUCUGCUGCUCACAGGGGCCUCUGGGCAGACACAGACAUCUUCAGUCUCUCUCUGACUCCCAAGGGUCUCCCCUCAUCUUCUGGAGAGAUGCAGCCUUGAGUUCCACUGCAUGGAAAGAUCUCAACUCACUUUUGACAGGUUUGGGCAAAGUGGAGGCUUGAAGCUCCUACAGAGACUAAACUGCAGAGACCGGAGGGACCAAGGUAAUUUCAGGGCAACAGCCAUUGGAACACUUGUGCUUUUUCCCUUCUGGUUCUAAGUGUUCAAAUUCUCACCAAAAUAUAAGACAAACUCUCCUUGGAAUGACUGUGCUGCUGAAAACAUUUGGAAUUUCCUCUUUCAUCUGUUUUUUUCUCUUUUUAAAAAUUAUUUUGAAGGUUCUUUAGAUGAGAACAGAUUUGCAUUCCUCUCUCCCUGCUGCUCACUUCCCACCUGAAAUCUUCAGCUGCUCUUUGCAGUUCCCAACACAAUGGUGAGUGAAAUCCUGAACAGAGCAUUCAAACUUGAGGUGAGGAAAAGCAACAGCAGCAGAUGGGCUUGUAAACAGCAGAGACCUGGCUCAGGCACAGAGGUCCUGGUGGAGCAGGAAGGAGCAGGAGGUCAGCAGAGUUGGGAGUAACUUCACCGAUACAAAAUUGCCAAAAGUUACCUGCAAGUUUGCAGCUGGACAGAGGAAAAAGAAACCCAGAGCAGAGUCCCCACAGGUGGAAGGAAAAAGCAGAAUAAGGAGGCUCAGUUCCAUAGUUUAUUGAGCCCAGAGGGAUUUCUACAAACCACAUGGCAUCAGGUGUCAAAGAAAUGAGGAAUGAAAACCAACGUGGAACAAGGGAGCAGCCCAAAACUCCCACAGCCCAGCAAAGCUCCAGAAAGGGAGAAUCUGCACAUCCUGUGGAGUCCAGGAUCACAGAAAGAGACUGAUGAAAGAAGGUUCUGGGCUGGGAUUCUGGAGAGGGCUGGCUCCAAAUAAAAGGAGGAAUCCGCCUCACAAAGUGCAUGUCACCCAAAAGAAGGAAUCUGCCUCACAAAGGGCAUGUCACCCAAAAGAAGGAAUCUGCCUCACAAAGUGUAUGUCACCCAAAAGAAGGAAUCUGCCUCACAAAGUGCAUGUCACCUAAAAGAAGGAAUCUGCCUCACAAAGUGCAUGUCACCUAAAAGAAGGAAUCUGCCUCACAAAGUGCAUGUCACCUAAAAGAAGGAAUCUGCCUCACAAAGUGCAUGUCACCUAAAAGAAGGAAUCUGCCUCACAAAGGGCAUGUCACCUAAAAGAAGGAAUCUGCCUCACAAAGUGCAUGUCACCUAAAAGAAGGAAUCUGCCUCACAAAGGGCAUGUCACCUAAAAGGAGGAAUCUGCCUCACAAAGGGCAUGUCACCUAAAAGGAGGAAUCUGCCUCACAAAGGGCAUGUUGCCUUGUUUGUUACUUCCAUGGGCUUCAUUCCUUCCAAACCAUUUUCUUCUCUGACAUUCCUGUUGUAAUUAUGGGAUGGAAAAGCCACCCCAAGGCCCCUCUCGGGCAGUGGGUUUGGCUGGUGCCUGUUCCUGUGGGGUGCCAGGCAGGUAUUUGCAGGUAUUUACACCCCAGAGGGCUCCCAGAGCACCGGGAUUUACAGCAGGGGCCCCCCGGUGCUGUCAGGGCAGCGCUGCUGCUGCCACCCGAGUGUCUGCACACCUUCCCAGGGCCUGGCAUGGCCCCAGGGCUGCUGGACAUGCCUCUGCUCACAGCUCAUUCUGGCCACUGGGUGGAACAGGAUCGGGCCCUGCUGGAGCUUUUCAGCCCGGAGCACCCUCAGGCCAGUGGCCAGGGCUCAGGUUUCCAGGGUUUGGCAGGAGGGCUGCUCAGAUGAAACCUCUCUCUGCUCCUUCUGGAGGAUUUACACUGCCACAAGUCCUCAUUUUUUCCAGAUGUUUUACCUAAUAAAUCAAGGAGUCUCAUCAGAGGAUUGGGAUCCAAAAACUGUUACCAUGACUUCAAAGGCACAGGCUGGAGUGGAAAGAAGUGGUGCAGACAUUUUAUACCACUCUGUAUGAUCAUGAAAAUACACUCUGCUCCCAGGAUUUUUUUGCUGUGGAUACCAGAACUCCAACCAUGAUUAAGUAAAAUGGUGCUGUGCUCCCUCAGCCAACCUUUGCUGAAAAUGGAGCUGAAGGAGCCUGAGGCUCUGGGGCUGGCAGGAACCAGGCUGGGGCUGGUCCUGAGAGGGGCUGAGCUCUGCCAGCCCCUGUCCAAAAUCCUGCAGCAUUAACUCAGGGCUGAACUCACUCCAUCUUUUCAGAUCAAUAUUCAGCUGCAUAUUUUCUCCCAGUGCUGGUUUAGGCAAUUCCCACAUAAGGAAUCAGAUGUUCAUCUUCUUCAGAUGUUGGGAGAGAAAAAGAUAAAAAGAGUUACAUGGCUGUAAAAUGUGAUUGUGACUAUUCAGACCAGUUUGUUCCUUGAUCAAGAAUGUAACUUUUUUUUUUUUGUAGUGAAGGCUUUUUACAGUGUCUACAUGGUGUCAUUUUCU